rnacentral:lncRNA from 1 species
UGUACAUUGAAGCUGGACCAGGGUGGCCACAAAAUUCUGGGGUGCUUUGCUGCUGGUUGUGGAUAAAGCCACUGAGUUCUACUCUCUGGGAAACACUGAAAGCACAUAAGGAGUUACUCUGGAGCUGAGAGGACAGCAACUGUGGACUGAGAACCAAUUAAUUAUUUCCAGAGCAAAGGAGACUUCUCCUAGAGUACCUGCAAAACCGAUGGAUAAACCUCACUGAAAUCACUGUUCUGAGACUGCAGGCACAGCUAUUGAGGACAGCCCAGAUACAAGCCAGGUCCCUUUUCCAAAGCAUAGAGCGGAUUAAAAGGUUUGAUUGCAGUUCUAGUUAGCAAAACUUUAACAUAGUUUGUCACAGAGGAACUAAGAAUGAUAUGCAAUAAUAGUAUAAGAGCAGAAAAUUUUGCACUCUAAGGUUGCCUUAGCUAUUGCUUCUGUGUGCUGUGUAAUAGAAGUGGCUGAUGCCAAGGACAUGUACCCAACUCAUUAAUGGCCUAAGUUUGCACAUUGUCAAUGCUCUACAUCUUAUCUAUCUAUAAAAUAUAUACAUAUAUAAAAACACAUAAGGAAUUACAUAUGUGUAGUGCUCCUGGUUGAUAGUGACUGAACUAUUUAUGCUCUAGUAUUGUUGGGGGAAAGGACAUUGUGUUUGCAAUUCAUUAUGUCCCCAAAGAAGUAGUAAACACUGUAUCCAUGCUAUGAAGUAAAUAUGCAAAAGGUCAGAAAAGCAAUGUAAUUGCAAAAGAGAUGGCAGAUGAAUCACAGACCUGCAUCAAGCAUUAACCUGGUACCACCCAAGAAGGUCUGGGCAUCA